CUCCUACGGGAGGCAGCAGUGAGGAAUAUUGGACAAUGGGGGCAACCCUGAUCCAGCAAUGCCAUGUGUGUGAAGAAGGCCUUAGGGUUGUAAAGCACUUUAGUUGGGGAAGAAAGCUUUGAGGUUAAUAGCCUUGAAGAAAAGGACGUUACCCAAAGAAUAAGCACCGGCUAACUCCGUGCCAGCAGCCGCGGUAAUACGGGGGGUGCAAGCGUUAAUCGGAAUUACUGGGCGUAAAGGGUCUGUAGGUGGUUUGUUAAGUCAGAUGUGAAAGCCUAGGGCUCAACCUUGGAACUGCAUUUGAUACUGGUAAACUAGAGUACGGUAGAGGAAUAGGGAAUUUCUGGUGUAGCGGUGAAAUGCGUAGAGAUCAGAAGGAACACCAAUGGCGAAGGCAACAUUCUGGACCGAUACUGACACUGAGGGACGAAAGCGUGGGGAUCAAACAGGAUUAGAUACCCUGGUAGUCCACGCUGUAAACGAUGAGUACUAGCUGUUGGAGUCGGUGUAAAGGCUCUAGUGGCGCAGCUAACGCGAUAAGUACUCCGCCUGGGGAUUACGGCCGCAAGGCUAAAACUCAAAGGAAUUGACGGGGACCC
rnacentral:rRNA from 1 species